UCCACGCCCUAAACGAUGCACACUAGUUGUUGCUAUGCUAGACAUAGCAGUAAUGCAGUUAACACAUUAAGUGUGCCGCCUGGGGAGUACGGUCGCAAGAUUAAAACUCAAAGGAAUAGACGGGGACCCGCACAAGCGGUGGAGCAUGUGGUUUAAUUCGACGAUACGCGAAGAACCUUACCUGGCCUUGACAUAGUAAGAACCUAAUAGAGAUAUAAGGGUGCUAGUUUAC
rnacentral:rRNA from 1 species